AGGAUGAACGCUGGCGGCGUGCUUAACACAUGCAAGUCGAACGAUGAAGCCGGAGCUUGCUCUGGUGGAUUAGUGGCGAACGGGUGAGUAACACGUGAGUAACCUGCCCUUGACUCUGGGAUAAGCACUGGAAACGGUGUCUAAUACCGGAUACGAGCUUUAGCCGCAUGGGCUAGGAGCUGGAAAGAAUUUCGGUCAAGGAUGGACU
rnacentral:rRNA from 1 species